CCUACGGGAGGCAGCAGUGGGGGAUAUUGCACAAUGGGGGGAACCCUGAUGCAGCGACGCCGCGUGGGGGAUGAAGGUUCUAUGGAUCGUAAACCUCUUUUAUAAGGGAAUAAAGUGUGGGACGUGUCCUGUUUUGUAUGUACCUUAUGAAUAAGGAUCGGCUAACUCCGUGCCAGCAGCCGCGGUAAUACGGAGGAUCCGAGCGUUAUCCGGAUUUAUUGGGUUUAAAGGGUGCGUAGGCGGCCUUUUAAGUCAGCGGUGAAAGUUUGUGGCUCAACCAUAGAAUUGCCGUUGAAACUGGGAGUCUUGAGUAUGUUUGAGGCAGGCGGAAUGCGUGGUGUAGCGGUGAAAUGCUUAGAUAUCACGCAGAACCCCGAUUGCGAAGGCAGCCUACCAAGCCAUGACUGACGCUGAUGCACGAAAGCGUGGGGAUCAAACAGGAUUAGAUACCCGAGUAGUC
rnacentral:rRNA from 1 species